rnacentral:rRNA from 1 species
ACUAUGGAGAGUUUGAUCCUGGCUCAGGAUGAACGCUAGCGGCAGGCCUAAUACAUGCAAGUCGAACGGCAG